AAACUGGAGAGUUUGAUCCUGGCUCAGAACGAACGCUGGCGGCGUGCUUAACACAUGCAAGUCGAACGCGAAAGGGACUUCGGUC
rnacentral:rRNA from 1 species